GUUAGUCAUAUUACCGACAAUCAAACUUCGCUCCUAGUUUGAACGUUUUGCCACUUAUAUUGGUGCUAUACAGAUCCUGGACUGAGCUCUGAGAUUUCACCUCAAGGAGCGCCACUAUCAUUGGCAAGCGAAAUUAACUUUCAGAAAACGAAUGCCAGCUGCAAAAGUACUAUUUUUCCCAACUUAUUAUUUUCAAAUUCAAAAAUGGAACUUUGUCAAUUGCGAACAGAUAUGACAUACUUACGGGAGAAAUACAACCGGUGUAAAAUUCCAUAAUGGAUUUGAGAAACCCGACGAAGCUUAAAGACGUAAUUGACAAGAUGCCAGGCGGUGACUAUGAUUACAAUUUUUGUCUGCGGGAGAGUGACUCUGUGAACGAGAAUAAGUUUGUCGCCAAGGUUCACUCACUGCUUCUGGGAGAUAUUUAGAAGUACGUUCCAAUCAACCUGGUGUAUAAUUUUACACAACCAAUUUCCUACCGGCGCAAGGUAGUACUCCUAUUCAUGGGAAAGAUGGAGCAGAAUACUUUAAACAUGGAGCACUUUGCUUGGAAACGCAGAACUACCCGGAUCCUAUAAAUCGUAGAAAUUUUCCGAAUAGUGUACUGCAGCCAGGAGAAACUUAUCGUCAUUUUGUUACAUACAAAUUUGGCGUAACAAAACGAGCAAAGAAUGUAAUUUUUUAUAAAAACUUAAGAAUAUUCUGAAAAUGUAAUUGUUUGGUAUAAUAUAUGAUCAUUUGCAACGAA